CAUGAUAUUCAGAACUAGCAUACCCAAAACCAAAAACACCAUCUUUCCCACACACAAAUCUCAAAUUCAUCACAAUGCAGUGUCUAAUCUUCCUAAUUACACCGCAAGAAUCUUGAGAAUUACACAAAUCACAAACCCUUUUAAUCCUUAAUUCUUAAAACUCAAAUUCAACAUCAUCAUCUUCCUCAUUUCAAGAUCAGAAAAUGAGGUUUCUUUCGUGGUAUUUAAGGAUGCUUGAUGUUCGUCCGGUAAUCACAAAGAGUGUUUCUGCAGGGUUGAUCUAUGGAGCUGCUGAUUUGACUGCACAGUCUAUGACCAUCGGAGCUUUUAGUUCUUUAGACUUGAUAAGAACACUACGAAUGGCGAUGUUUGGACUGUUUAUUCUAGGGCCCGCACAACAUUUGUGGUUUAAUUUCUUGGGUAGAAUCCUACCCAAACGAGACAUGACUACCACCCUCAAGAAGCUAAUUGUAGGACAGAUCUUUUACGGGCCUUCAUGUACCGCUGUUUUCUUCACUUAUAACGCGUUUUUACAAGGUGAAAGUGGUAGCGAGAUCACUUUGAGAUUACGUAGAGAUCUUUUGCCAACUUUAACCGGUGGUCUUAUGUACUGGCCGGUGUGUGAUUUCUUCACUUACAAAAUAAUUCCGGUUCAUUUGCAGCCAUUAAUGAAUAGUUCAUUUUCAUUUCUGUGGACUAUAUACUUGACAUACAUGGCAAGUUUGGAAAAGGCAAUAGGAGCUUGAUUAUUAGUGUUUUAUUAUCUUUUAUCAACCAUACAUAUUCAUCCUUAUAUACGGAAGUUCACGUUGUUUGAAGGCACGAUGGGUGGCACAAGACCGCCAUAAGUUCAAGUGGAUGGAAAUUGGAGAUCUAUAUGAGAAUAAAAGCAGGGAAAAGUGGUUAUUGUAGAAUGGAAGAGUUCAUGAACUUUGUUACCAUACUAAUAAUAUGUUUGUUCUACUUCUAGAAGAUUCUUUAGUUCUUGUUGUCUUUUGGGCAUUACAAUAUAGGUAGGUAGAUCACACUUCUGAAGUGUCUACUUGUUUGGGGUGAGUUGACAAAAAUACCCAUGAUGGUAUUUGCUUAAUAGAUGAAUGAGCUUGGUAUGGGCUCGCCAAAAACUCUAAUCGAGCCUGUUUAAACAAGCUCGAACUUAUAUUGAAGCUUAUUAUAACGAAAUCUAGUUUCAUA